rnacentral:rRNA from 1 species
CUACGGGAGGCAGCAGUGGGGAAUCUUGCGCAAUGGGCGAAAGCCUGACGCAGCGACGCCGCGUGAGUGAUGAAGGCCUUCGGGUUGUAAAGCUCUGUGGGGAGAGACGAAUAAGUGCGGGCUAAUACUCCGCAUGAUGACGGUAUCUCCUUAGCAAGCACCGGCUAACUCUGUGCCAGCAGCCGCGGUAAGACAGAGGGUGCAAACGUUGUUCGGAAUUACUGGGCGUAAAGCGAGUGUAGGCGGUUUCGUAAGUCAGGUGUGAAAGCCCCGGGCUCAACCCGGGAAGUGCACUUGAUACUGCGAGGCUAGAGUACUGGAGAGGUUGGUGGAAUUCUCGGUGUAGAGGUGAAAUUCGUAGAUAUCGAGAGGAACACCGGUGGCGAAGGCGGCCAACUGGACAGAUACUGACGCUGAGGAGCGAAAGCGUGGGGAGCGAACAGGAUUAGAUACCCGUGUAGUCC